rnacentral:lncRNA from 1 species
UUUUGAUAUCUGAUUUCUGCGCAUUGAAUUUGUAGCCAUGUCUGCCAUUUUGUUGAGAAGAGGAGCUCAAACACUAACUCCAUUUCAUGCUCUCACUUCAUUCACCUUAAUGCCUCAAAUUGUGAAUACCCUUUCUCUUUUACUGCAUUCUCAUUUUCUUCUUUUCUCUACGAAGCCUAACCCUAAUUCACAACCCAAACCCCCCUUUAUUCCUUCUCCAUCCACCACUCAUCCCCAACUUAAACAAUUACUCUAUCAUAAGUCUAAACUUGGUUUCGAUGGAGAGGAGCUCAAAGACUAGUAGGCACAUUUCCUCUGUUCUCUACGAAGCCUAACCCUAAUUCACAACCCAAACCCCCCUUUAUUCCUUCUCCAUCCACCACUCAUCCCGAGCUAAAACUACUACUCUAUCAUAAAUCUAAUGUUGUGUUUGGUUGGAGAGAAUGAAAUGGAAAGGAAUGGAAUGAGUAAAAAAUACUUGAAACUAAUAGAAAUAGGAAGAAAAUUUUGAAAAAAUUUGAAGUACUGCAAAAUUACUAUGAUGAGAUUUGUGAAGAAAUUGAGGAUGGGAGAGAAUGGAGCAUUCAAUGUCAAAUGGAAGGUGUGAUAUCUAGCAUAUGAUGUAGGGAAUGGAAUGGAGGAAGGAAUGAAAUUUCUUAAAAAUCGUCCAUAAGAUAGUUCAUUUUUCAUUCCAUUCCUUCCGGAAUCAUUCACCCCAACCAAACACAACAUAAAGUUGGUUUUGAUAAACUCCACGAUGCUCUUCUUGUGUUCGAC